CAUAUAUAAGCCCCACCUGGAAAGCCCUUGAGGGCGAAUUGGGUUGUGUUGUGUUAUGUUAUAUCUGCUGCUGCCAUGUGGGAACCAAAAAGGUAGAGUCUGCUUCUUGGGUGCACUUUGAAAAUUUAAAAGGGAACAUUCAAGAGCUGAUGGGCUUCCUGGAUCCCAUAUCCCAAAUAACUAAGUCAACAUGGUUAUCCACCAUUCCUGAUUCAGAUCCUGAAGUUGGGACUCACAGCUCACAUCCAGGAAAUCCUGGAGCAAAAAGUCAGUAACCACCUGAGUAAUAACGCUCUUGAUCUCAUCUGAAAGCACGCCUAUUUGUUUCAAUCUCC